rnacentral:rRNA from 1 species
UUCAUGGAGAGUUUGAUCCUGGCUCAGGACGAACGCUGGCGGCGUGCCUAAUACAUGCAAGUCGAGCGGACCGAUGGGAGCUUGCUCCCUUAGGUCAGCGGCGGACGGGUGAGUAACACGUGGGUAACCUGCCUGUAAGACUGGGAUAACUCCGGGAAACCGGGGCUAAUACCGGAUGCUUGAUUGAACCGCAUGGUUCAAUCAUAAAAGGUGGCUUUUAGCUACCACUUACAGAUGGACCCGCGGCGCAUUAGCUAGUUGGUGAGGUAACGGCUCACCAAGGCGACGAUGCGUAGCCGACCUGAGAGGGUGAUCGGCCACACUGGGACUGAGACACGGCCCAGACUCCUACGGGAGGCAGCAGUAGGGAAUCUUCCGCAAUGGACGAAAGUCUGACGGAGCAACGCCGCGUGAGUGAUGAAGGUUUUCGGAUCGUAAAACUCUGUUGUUAGGGAAGAACAAGUACCGUUCGAAUAGGGCGGCACCUUGACGGUACCUAACCAGAAAGCCACGGCUAACUACGUGCCAGCAGCCGCGGUAAUACGUAGGUGGCAAGCGUUGUCCGGAAUUAUUGGGCGUAAAGCGCGCGCAGGCGGUUUCUUAAGUCUGAUGUGAAA